rnacentral:rRNA from 1 species
UACGUAGGUGGCAAGCGUUGUCCGGAUUUACUGGGCGUAAAGAGCGCGCAGGCGGUCGAAUAAGUCGAAUGUGAAAGCCCCCGGCUUAACUGGGGAGGGUCAUUCGAUACUGCUCGACUUGAAGGCAGGAGAGGGUAGUGGAAUUCCCGGUGUAGUGGUGAAAUGCGUAGAUAUCGGGAGGAACACCAGUGGCGAAGGCGGGUCUCUGGGCCGAUACUGACGCUGAGGAGCGAAAGCGUGGGGAGCGAACAGG